CCUACGGGGGGCAGCAGUGAGGAAUAUUGGUCAAUGGGCGCGAGCCUGAACCAGCCAAGUAGCGUGAAGGAUGACUGCCCUACGGGUUGUAAACUUCUUUUAUAAAGGAGUAAAGUGAGGCACGUGUGCCUUUUUGUAUGUACUUUAUGAAUAAGGAUCGGCUAACUCCGUGCCAGCAGCCGCGGUAAUACGGAGGUUCCGAGCGUUAUCCGGAUUUAGUGGGUUUAAAGGGAGCGUAGGUGGAUUGUUAAGUCAGUUGUGAAAGUUUGCUGCUCAACCGUAAAAUUGCAGUUGAAACUGGCAGUCUUGAGUACAGUAGAGGUGGGUGGAAUUCGUGGUGUAGCGGUGAAAUGCUUAGAUAUUACGAAGAACUCCGAUUGCGAAGGCAGCUCACUGGACUGCAACUGACACUGAUGCUCGAAAGUGUGGGUAUCAAACAGGAUUAGAUACCCUUGUAGUC
rnacentral:rRNA from 1 species